GUCAGGGCAGGAGACCGUGGGUGGUGCGAGUGACGGAGGGCGCCCUGGGGGACUGAGCUUACACAUGUGUGGGCAUGCAUGCGUGUGUGCCCCUGGAGUGUGCGUGGGGAGUGAGGAAGACAUGAUGAAGACAGAGUGGCCAGCUGCCCAGGGCGGGGCCAACGGGGACAUGGGUAGAAGGACUCGAGCCACGAGGCCGGCCUGAGGGAUGGAGUCAGGGGCACGGAGGAACAAUAUUGCUACUAUGGAAAUUGAGAGCAAUAUGGAAAAGAGAUGUCUGCAUGCUGCCCAAAAGCCAUCACCGGCCAUUGCGCUGGUUUUCUGUCCAGCCUGGAUCCUAGGCACCACUUCUCCUCCUUGGGGCCACGUGUGUGCGUCCCCCCAAUCUCGGGCGCCUGUGGUGGGGGUGGGGGGCUUCCCAGGCCUGGGGCCGUCUGCAGGCACCCCCUCAGGGAGGCAGCGGUCUGCGCCCUGGAGGCUCUCACUGGCCAGCAAGUUCUCUUCCUGAGUAUUCAUCCGUGGUUUCACUCCUCGUCUGCUCACUUACCACGCGCAGUCAUUUAAAGCUUUGAUCUAAACUUUAUAUUUUAAGUAAAUUUCUAAAGUUUUACAAAAGCAGGAUGUUCAACAGUGCAUUUCUAAUCUUCAGUUCACAUUUUCACACCUUCUGUGCAUCCCUGAGUUUU